rnacentral:rRNA from 1 species
AUUGAACGCUGGCGGCAGGCCUAACACAUGCAAGUCGAGCGAGCGGCGGACGGGUGAGUAAUGUAUGGGGACUGCCCGAUAGAGGGGGGUAACUCCUGGAAACGGUAGCUCAUACCGCAUACUCUCGGAUAGCCCAUAUGGGAUAAGAUCGUAGGUGAGGUAAUGGCUCACCUAGGCGACGCUUCCUCGCUGGUCUGAGAGGAUGAUCAGCCACACUGGGACUGAGAGACGGCACAGACGCCUACGGGGGCAGCAGUGGGGAAUAGUGCGCAAGGGGCGCAAGGCUGAUGCAGCCAUGCCGCGUGUAUGAAGAAGGGCCUAGGGUUGUAAAGGACGUUCAGUCGGGAGGCGUUACCGACAGAAGAAGCACCGGCUAACUCCGUGCCAGCAGCCGCGGUAAUAC